UGUAAAUUCACGAAAGAGCACAUAGAGGAUGCCUUGAGAGAUUUAGCUGAUGAAGGACGUGGUAGCCUGCGAUAAGCGUCGGGGAGCUGGCAACAAGCUAUGAACCGACGAUUUCCGAAUGGGGAAACCCGCGUGAGUAAACCUCACGCACCCUGUACUUAAGUACAGUGGAAGGCACCCGGGGAACUGAAACAUCUAAGUACCCGGAGGAAAAGAAAGCAGUAGCGAUUCCCCCAGUAGCGGCGAGCGAAAAGGGAACAGCCUAAACUCGUUCGCUGAAUCUUGGGCGUAAGUAGGAAACAGGCGGCCCCUUAAAAUAUGUGGGUUGAGCCUUAGAAAAUUUGUUUCUGCUUGCGUCCGGGAUUCAGUGAGCGAGGGUUAUAGGGAAAUAACUCACUUUUAAUAGUGAGGUGCGUGAAGAGAUUAUAAGAAGGAUCUUGGAAAAGACCACCACAGAGGGUGAUAGUCCCGUAUUUUAAAAUUUCUUCAAGUACCGCGUUAUUUUUCCUGAGUACGACUGGACACGAGCAAUCCAGUCGGAAGGUCGGGUGAUCGUGCCCGAAGGCUAAAUACUAAAUCUCAUCGAUAGCGAACAAGUACCGUGAGGGAAAGGUGAAAAGUACCCAGAGUAUGGGAGUGAAAUAGUUCCUGAAACUAUGUGCUUACAAGGAGUCGGAGCAUCGCAAGAUGUGACGGCGUGCCUUUUGAAGAAUGAGCCAGCGAGUUACAUCUUUGUCCCAAGUGUAAGGGCCUUUGGUCCGGACGCGAAGCGAAAGCGAGUCUUAAUAGGGCGAUUUAGGGGCAGGGAGUAGACCCGAAACCGGGUGAUCUAGCCAUGAGCAGGGUGAACCCUCGAGAAAUCGAGUGGGGAGGCCCGAACCCACCAUAGUGGCAAAUAUGGGGGAUGACUUGUGGUUAGCGGUAAAAUUCCAAUCGAACCCGGAGAUAGCUGGUUCUCCUCGAAAUAUAUUUAGGUAUAGCCUGAUACUACAUGGUGUGGGGUAGAGCACUGAAAGGUGUUUGGGGACGCAAGUUCUCACCACCUAUCAAACUCCGAAUACGCACCGUUCGGGUAUCAGAGUCAGACUGUGCGGGCUAAGCUGCAUGGUCAAAAGGGAAAGAGCCCAGACCUACAACUAAGGUCCCUAAAUCCGAGCUCAGUGGAAAACGAAGUGGAAAGGCGUAGACAACCAGGAUGUUGGCUUAGAAGCAGCCAUCAUUUAAAGAAAGCGUAAUAGCUCACUGGUCGAUUCUACGUUCCAGGCAAUGUUGGUCCUAACGGACCGGCGGCGUCGGGAACCUCUAGGCCUUUUUGCGCGGAAAAUUCAACGGGGCUAAGCUCGGUACCGAAGUUUAGGAUUGUGCCGCAAGGCACAAUGGUAGAGGAGCGUUCGUAGUUGGGUGAAGCGGGAGCGUGAGCAACCGUGGACGGCUACGAAGUGAGAAUGCUGGCAUGAGUAACGAAAGGGAAGUGAGAACCUUCCCCGCCGCAAACCCGAGGUUUCCACAGCAACGACGAUCGUCUGUGGGUUAGUCGGUCCUAAGGGGUAAGACCUCGAUGGACACACGGUUAAUAUUCCGUGACUACCUUAUAACUACCUUGGCGCGACACGGACUGUAGGUUGAAAGAGCUGUUGGUUAUGCUCCGUAGGCUGAACGUCUGGCAAGAAAAGCGUCAAGAUCACUAUGUAAGGUAUCCGUACCGCAAACCGACACAGGUGGGUGAGUCGAGUAGACUCAGGUGGUCGAGUGAACCCUCUUUAAGGAACUCGGCAAAAAAGCAGGCGUAACUUAGGGAUAUGCCUCGCCAUCAGCAAUGGUGGCUGCAACAAAUGACUUUCAAGCGACUGUUUAACAAAAACUUAGGUCUCUGCUAACCCUCAUGGGGAUGUAUAGGGGCUGAUGCCUGCCCAGUGCUCGUAGGUUACGAGGAGAGUUGAUCCGGUGGAUUUAUCCAUUGAUGAGGCUUGAAUCUAAGCCCGAGUGAACGGCAGCGGUAACUAUAACCGUUCUAUGGUAGCGAAAUUCCUUGUCGGGUAAGUUCCGACCCGCACGAAUGGCAUAACGACUUGAAAACUGUCUCAAAGAGGGACUCGGUGAAAUUACACUACCGGUGAAGAUGCCGGUUACCUGCAGCAAGACGGAAAGACCCCGUGGAGCUUUACUACAGCUUGGCAUUGAUUCAGAACUUGUGUUGUGUAGCGUAGGUGGGAGAUCUUCGGAUCGACAAUGAAACACCACCCUUUGCUUGUUUUGAGUCUUACUGGAUGAAAAAUCUAAGACAGUGUCAGGUGGGUAGUUUGACUGGGGCGGUCGCCUCCUAAAGAGUAACGGAGGCGUGCAAAGGUUCGCUAGGUACGGAUGGAAAUCGUACCGAUAGGGCAAACCCAUAAGCGAGCUUAACUGCAAGGCCUACAAGCCGAGCAGGUGCGAAAGCAGGCGUUAGUGAUCCAGCCGGUUUCAGAACGAGACGGCCGGCGCUCAACGGAUAAAAGCUACCCCGGGGAUAACAGGCUGAUUGCGCCCAAUCGUCCACAGAGACGGCGCAGUUUGGCACCUUGAAACAUUGGGGUGCUACAAGAGUAAUCUUGUACCAACAAAAAUGUGGCUAAAAGUCUCAUUGCGACUCUACUUUUGUAGAGUGGGGAUGAGGCUUACAAUGCCGUUACACGGCAUUGUAUAACGGUGAAGCCCGACUCAUUGCGAGUGGUAAAUGAAUGCAGUGAAGGGUAAUACCGUGGGAAGUCGUCCGCCAGGAUGGCGGAUUGACCCUGUAUCGACUGAGUCGAAAGACGAGAUUGUGGUUUUUAAACGAACCAUAAUAAUACGCCACGUCCUAUGUUAAACAAAUGAAUAUGGCAGAUUCUGCCUAAGUUCUAAAUGCAAGAACAAGAUAUGUCGCUACCUUUGGUAGCUCGUAUCUUUUUCCUCUGCAGGCAUAGGAAAAAGAUAUAGUCAGUACCAUGCGUAAUCAUGGAGUAUUACACGAUGUCGGCUCAUCCUAUCCUGGGGCUGAAGAAGGUCCCAAGGGUUUGGCUGUUCGCCAAUUAAAAGGGUACGCGAGCUGGGUUCAGAACGUCGCGAGACAGUUCGGUCCUAAUCUGCUGUAGGCGUGGAAGAUUGAGAGGAGCGGCUCCUAGUAUGAGAAGACCGGAGCGGACGAACCUCUGGUGUAUCGGCUGUCCUGCCAAGGGCAAUGUCGAGUAGCUACGUUCGGAACUGAUAACCGCUGAAAGCAUCUAAGCGGGAAGCAGGCCUCAAGAUUAAUCUUCGUUGACACCCCGGGUAGACUACCCGGUUGAUAGGCGCUAGGUGUAAGUGCGGUAACGCAUUGAGCCAAGGCGUACUAAUAGGUGAAUUGAAUUUACACU
rnacentral:rRNA from 1 species